GGGUUGUGAGGUUAAGCGACUAAGCGUACACGGUGGAUGCCCUGGCAGUCAGAGGCGAUGAAGGACGUGCUAAUCUGCGAUAAGCGCCGGUAAGGUGAUAUGAACCGUUAUAACCGGCGAUUUCCGAAUGGGGAAACCCAGUGUGACUCGUCACACUAUCAUUAACUGAAUCCAUAGGUUAAUGAGGCGAACCGGGGGAACUGAAACAUCUAAGUACCCCGAGGAAAAGAAAUCAACCGAGAUUCCCCCAGUAGCGGCGAGCGAACGGGGAGGAGCCCAGAGCCUG
rnacentral:rRNA from 3 species